AGAACGAACGCUGGCGGCAGGCUUAACACAUGCAAGUCGAACGCUCGUAGCAAUACGGGAGUGGCAGACGGGUGAGUAACGCGUGGGAACAUACCCUCCGGUUCGGAAUAACUCAGGGAAACUUGAGCUAAUACCGGAUACGGCUGAGAGGCGAAAGAUUUAUCGCCGGAGGAUUGGCCCGCGUUCGAUUAGCUUGUUGGUGAGGUAACGGCUCACCAAGGCGACGAUCGAUAGCUGGUCUGAGAGGAUGAUCAGCCACAUUGGGACUGAGACACGGCCCAAACUCCUACGGGAGGCAGCAGUGGGAAUAUUGGACAAUGGGCGCAAGCCUGAUCCAGCCAUGCCGCGUGAGUGAUGACGGCCUUAGGGUUGUAAAGCUCUUUCGCUCGGGACGAUAAUGACGGUACCGAGAUAAGAAGCCCGGCUAACUUCGCGCCAGCAGCCGC
rnacentral:rRNA from 1 species